AUAUCAAAGAUUCUGCAUGCUGCAACUAAGACCCGGCACAGCCAAAUAAAUAAUAAAUAUUGUUUUUUGUAAAAGUAAUGUCAAGAACACAGAAGAGCACAGGGGCAUGUACAUGUUAGGCUUGAGGGACCACUGAAGGUCAACCACAGGCCACCCUUCUUCCUGCUUCCCCCAAACUCUCCGCAUGGGUGCUUCGACCAUGAAUUGGGUGAUCCUUUGCUGUGGGACCCAGCAGUCCCUCAGAAGAGGGAGAAGCCCUAUUUUACUGUAGCUCAGCGUUCAGUCGUGUGCCUAGUGGUUGUGGGCCUGGGUUGGGGGUGGUGAAGAUGACCUGUCGUUAGAUCUUGGCACUGACUGUAGCUCCCUUGUGUGCCUUCGGGUGACACCUCGCUGUGAAGCCUCAACAAACUUACUGUAAAAUGAGGAUCAUAGCACUUGUCUAUAGGUAGGCAGAGUCAAUAUGAAAUAUAGCAGCUGCCCAGUAAAUGACCCUUUUUUUCUCCUUUCCCAUGGCCACUUGCUGAGGAUAAAAGGACCUUACCAUAGCUACCAGGUGUAUUUCAGAAAGUCUGUCUUAACCCUUUCCUACUCCCCAGUGCCACCUCCACCCCCACCACCACCCCAGAUGGCUACCACACCAAACCAGGAAAGACUGCUUGACACUGGAGUGUUUGCCGAAACCACCUCUCGUACCUGCCCUUAUUCCACAGGCCACCUGUUGGCUGCCUGCAGGAACUGCCCUCCUGGAAGCCAAAAUGAGAAGGUGAGAAUCUGAAACCCAGAGGACACACAGUAAUUGCUGAAGUUGGGCCUUGGACCCAGCCUGUCUGGCUCUGGAGCCAUGAUACUAGUGAGUGAAGAGGGCCAAGGCCACCUGAGAAGUGUGUGCACUAGUGGAGUGGCCUGACCUCAAAGAUCAUCACAAAGCACAGAACCUGGCACAUGAUGAUUCUGCAGGAAAUGGAGGCUUUCGUUAUCCAAGUUAUGGUCUGUGAGACACGGUGACACCAGCCCUGCACAGCAGGGCCUUCGGAAUCCUCCUGUCCUCUUCCACAUCCCAGUCCACACAUCUUCCCUUCAGAACAGCUGAGAAACCAAAAGGAAGUCGCUGUGAUGACUUUGGGGUGGGGGGUGGGCAAGAGUCCCCUCCUUUGAGAUACUGGCUUGGGCUAAUAUGACUCACUUGUGGGCCAGAGCCCUCCCCCACCCCUUGUUGCCCCACCAAGGCCGGGCUCUGAGACUCCCUGCUUCUGCCUCAGGCUGGCACAGGUGUGGAGCUUCAAUGUGGUCCCUCAUAUGCUCUGUGCCAGACGAAGAGAACAGCAGGAAUAACAGAUAGCCCUGGGCAGACCCCCAGAAUACAAGGUCCUUUGUCUCUGGGGUGGAGGUGCUCCCCGGGCUGGAUGGCACAAUCACAUGACUGGGCCCCCCCCAUUCAAAAGAUAUACUAGGUCACCCCCUUUUGAGAGUCGCCACCCAGCCCCUGCCCCUGCUCAUAUGAGUCCCUGACUCCCCACCUUCUGCAUCUCCCUGGCUGGGGGAUGAUGGGCAAGUCACUUUAGUGCACUUCAGCUUCCUCCUCUGUACUACGGGGACAGUGACACCUUCUUCAGAAUUAAACAGAAUCCUAUAUGUGAGAGUGUCCCAUGCUAGGUCUUCACACACCAGGUGCUCACUAUAUGUUUCUCCCCUCCUUGCUCAGUUGUGCCAUUGUCCAGGCAGCAGGGAUCAGAACCGAGGCAUAAUGCCUUUGAAAGUUCGCCAAGCUCUGACCCACAGCUGUUUGAAAUCACAUCUUCUGUUCCCACUGGAUGGACUCCCAACACCUGGGCUUGGUCCUGGUUCUGCCCCUUACUAGGCAGCUUUUAUUAAUAUGUAUCAUUCACAUUCUAUGAGCCUCAGUUUCCUCAUCUGCAAAAUAAACACAUUUAUUGAUUCAA